GAGUUGUGGAGCAAGGAUGACUGACACAAACACAAAAAUCAUUCUGCCUGUUGAAUGAAUCAUAAAAUACUGUCUUUGAUCCAGGAGGCUUGUGUCAUCUGCCAGCAUUUAUGAAACUGUGCUCCAAGUAGGCUUCUGUAUCAGCAGUGCUUGCCCCUGAUAGAUGAUGAUCAUGGGGGGACCAGGAGCCUCUAGACUUAGAGAACUUUCCCCACCCUCCCUGUGGAGUGUUUACCUCCCCAGCACCCCCUGCUGGUCAGUUUGACAAACAGAUGAACAGAAGUUCUCAAAUACACAGUAAGCAGAUAACCCCAACAUCACCAGAAAUAUCAACUUGUGAUGGCAUUUUGUCAAGUUGUCUUUGUUAUCGGCAACAUCUGUUGCUUUCUGAGGGAAGUAUUUUGAGUUCUCCUACUGAGACUGUGGAUUUGCCUAUUUCUUUUUGUAUGUCUGUCAGCUUUUGCCAUAUGUAUUUUGUAGUUGUGAGGAAGAUUCAUGACUUAUCUUGUGGGAGAAUUCUGUAUUUAGCAGAUUUUCGUCUUAAGUUCUGUUUUGCUUAGUAUUGAUGUUAUUACUUUGCUUUUUCAGUUUCAAAAUCAUUUAGUAUAUCUUUUUCCUUUCUUUUAGCCUUUGUGUUUUUAUUUCAGAUGUACUUUCUUAUGUACUGACUGUGAUCCCCAAAUUCAUAUGUUGAAGUCCCAACUCCAAAUGUAUUUGGAGGUGGGCCUUUCAGAC
rnacentral:antisense_RNA from 1 species